rnacentral:lncRNA from 1 species
CGCCACCUCCCUUCAUUGCUCACAGACUUGUUCCCUCCCCGGUCUGCGGCUGCUGCAGCAGCGGCGGCGGCGGCGGCGGCGGGACGCAGGAGCAGUCCCGAGGCUGGCCACGGAUGAGACUGGAACGAACUGAGACUGCUGCUCCCAGCUGGCAGGUCCUGGGGUGGAAGGGGGUGAAGGCACCCAGAAACCUCGGGACUAUAUCAUCCUUGCCAUCCUGUCCUGCUUCUGCCCCAUGUGGCCUGUCAACAUUGUGGCCUUCGCUUAUGCCGUCAUGUCCCGGAACAGCCUGCAACAGGGGGACGUGGAUGGGGCUCAACGUCUGGGUCGAGUAGCCAAGCUCUUAAGCAUCGUGGCGCUGGUUGGGGGGGUCCUCAUCAUCAUCGCCUCCUGCGUCAUCAACUUAGGCGUGUAUAAGUGAGGGGCUCUGCCC